UACGGGGGGGGCAAGCGUUGUUCGGAAUUACUGGGCGUAAAGGGCUCGUAGGUGGUCAACUAAGUCGGACGUGAAAUCCCUCGGCUUAACCGGGGAACUGCGUCCGAUACUGGAUGACUUGAGUUCGGGAGAGGGAUGCGGAAUUCCUGGUGUAGCGGUGGAAUGCGCAGAUAUCAGGAGGAACACCGGUGGCGAAGGCGGGGUCUCUGGGCAGUAACUGACGUGGAGGAGCGGAAAGCGUGGGAGCGAACAGG
rnacentral:rRNA from 1 species